rnacentral:lncRNA from 1 species
GUCCGGGCCCCUCACUCCCCCUGCCCCAAGCGCUUCACGGCGGGGUUGGGGUACUCGGGGUUCUCGACGGCCCCCGGGCCGAACUUGAGCUCGAGGAAGGCGCGGGCGUUGUUGGGCGCCAUGGCGGUGAAGCCGGCGAAGGGCAGCGGCACCAGCGGGCGCAGGAAGCGCUCGGGGAACUCCACGUCCUGCGGGUGCCCCAGCCACGUGUCCUUGGUCAUCACCCCGGCGCGGGCGUAGAAGGGCCACAGGUCGACGUGCAGCCGGUUGGCGCGGCUGUAGUGCACGCGGAAGAAGUCCCCCUCGGCCGCCUUCUCCCAGACGAAGCCCUCGGCGUCCUCCACCGCGCCGCCUCCCGCCGCCGCCGCCUCCCGCAGCCACCGGCACUUGCCGGCGUCCUCCCGGUAGAUGCCCAGGUCCACGUCGUAGUCCCAGGGGAUGAUGUCCCGCAGGCGCACGGCGCCCAGCAGCGAGCCCCCCUCCAACCAGUACCGCACGCCGGCGGCCUCCAGCGCCCCGGCCACGUGCCGGGCGGUCUCGCGCAGCGCCCGCAGGCAGCACGGCGGGGUCCAGCGCCCCGCCAGGAGGUACUGGGGCGUGCGGGCGUGCACGGUGCCGAAGCAGCGCGCCGUCUCCUUGCCGCAGCCGUACCAGCGCUCCCGCCCGUCCGCCAGCACCUCCCGCUUGAUGCCCAGCUCGCGCAGCAGCCGCCGCCGCCGGGCCCCCGCCAAGCUCUCGGCUUUCCACCGGUUGUGGGGGUUAGCCGGGGGGGCCGGGGCGGCGGGGAAAGCUUCGGGGAGCACCCGCACCCCCCAGCCCCGCAGGCCGCCCCCCCGGCCCCCCCGGGGCCGUAGCGCGCCGUCCACUCGCGCAGCUCCACGCGCAAGCCCAGGCACCGCAGCGGCUCCGUCCCAACGGGCGCCGCCACCACCCGGGCGUCCCCCCCGGCCUCCAGCGCCGCCCGCAUGCGGUCCAGCAGCCCCGGUCGGGCUCGGGCGCCGUCGGGGACCAGCGCCACGUGGCGGGUGCGGACGUGGA